rnacentral:rRNA from 1 species
UGGCGUUUUACCGUGCCGACAGAUGAGACCAGCCAGCUGCUUGCCGAUUCGUUCUGGCGAGCGUAGGAUUGAAAAGCCCGAGAGGCUGCCCUGACAAAACAUUCAUUUUACAUUUAUUUUGUUGGAAAAGAGCUUUAAGUUACUCCGGUGGAUCACUU